GAUGAACGCUGGCGGCGUGCCUAACACAUGCAAGUCGAGCGAUUCUCUUCGGAGAAGAGCGGCGGACGGGUGAGUAACGCGUGGGUAACCUGCCCUGUACACACGGAUAACAUACCGAACGGUAUGCUAAUACGAGAUAAUAUGCUUUUAUCGCAUGGUAGAAGUAUCAAAGCUUUUGCGGUACAGGAUGUACCCGCGUCUGAUUAGCUAGUUGGUAAGGUAACGGCUUACCAAGGCGACGAUCAGUAGCCGACCUGAGAGGGUGAUCGGCCACAUUGGAACUGAGACACGGUCCAAACUCCUACGGGAGGCAGCAGUGGGGAAUAUUGCACAAUGGGCGAAAGCCUGAUGCAGCAACGCCGCGUGAGCGAUGAAGGCCUUCGGGUCGUAAAGUUCUGUCCUCAAGGAAGAUAAUGACGGUACUUGAGGAGGAAGCCCCGGCUAACUACGUG
rnacentral:rRNA from 1 species